rnacentral:rRNA from 1 species
GACGAACGCUGGCGGCGUGCUUAACACAUGCAAGUCGAACGGAAAGGCCCUGCUUUUGUGGGGUGCUCGAGUGGCGAACGGGUGAGUAACACGUGAGUAACCUGCCCUUGACUUUGGGAUAACUUCAGGAAACUGGGGCUAAUACCGGAUAGGAGCUCCUGCUGCAUGGUGGGGGUUGGAAAGUUUCGGCGGUUGGGGAUGGACUCGCGGCUUAUCAGCUUGUUGGUGGGGUAGUGGCUUACCAAGGCUUUGACGGGUAGCCGGCCUGAGAGGGUGACCGGCAACAUUGGGACUGAGAUACGGCCCAGACUCCUACGGGAGGCAGCAGUGGGGAAUAUUGCACAAUGGGCGGAAGCCUGAUGCCGCAACGCCGCGUGCGGGAUGACGGCCUUCGGGUUGUAAACCGCUUUCGCCUGUGACGAAGCGUGAGUGACGGUAAUGGGUAAAGAAGCACCGGCUAACUACGUG